GACCUCUCUGGUGGCCUAGUGGUUGGAGCAUCUUCCUCAGAUGUAGAAGGUCACAGGUUCAAAUCCCAGCCCAAGUCA